UGUGUUUUUUGCGCGUGUUUUUGUGUGUUUUUUGCGUGUGUGCAUGUUUUUUGCGCAUGUUUUUUGCGUGUGUGCGUGGUUUUUGCGCGUGUUUUUGCGCGCGUGUGUGUUCGUGCUGAUCCGUGUUUUGUGUUCCUGCCACAUCUGUGCACCGUGUCUCACUGGCGCAUUCAGAGCAACACUUCAAGCGCUCCAACAAUAACAAACACACUCGUCUCCGCAGAACAAUGCGCGGCGCAGGCAGGACGGGCGUGUGCGCGGAAACAAAGGCGCACGAGAACAAGGAGCACCGGUUGUGCUCGCGCGCCGCUAACGAGGAGCGUUAUUAGACGUGUUUCACUGCGUCUCUCAGCAGAAACACGUCAUGCGUUAAACAAUUUCAACAACCAGCGCGUGGACGGAGUGUGCGAAAAAGCCGAUAUGAGUUAGAGGCGACGCCGUCGGAAGAUGGAGCAUCGAUUUCCUGCCAGGCCUGGAUGUAGUAGCACCUCCGAGGCGCGCGCGCGCGUGCGUGCGCGCGGAUGGUGCGCUAACCUUUAGCAGACACGAGGACGCUGGUUCAGGAGCCGCAGCCCGUGAGCAGCCUGUUAACAUGUAAAGCAGCCGUGACAUUUAACGCGCGCGUAAAGGCCAGCGUGAAGAGGCGGCCUCCAGCGGAGAGGGACGAGCGCGCUCCACGCUUCCCCCACGGUCACAGCUGGACAAAGACACGGGCGGAGUGACGUCACGGGCGCGCGGCUUGAGCAAGGCGCUUAAACUGGAGAGCUGCUAAUGGACGUUGAGCAGCGGUUCAGGUUCCAGACGCAACGUCCUGUUCGUUGGGACGGAAGCUGAUCUCAGAUCUGAUGUGUGCACGUUUUCACCGUCCUGCUCCUCACGCGUGCAUUUCCUACGUCUUUAUUUGCUGUUGCAGUGAGACCAUGAGCACCUUUAACUGCUGCAUAGUCAGCGCCUACAAACAGCUGCUGUGAACGCAGCCAGCAGACUGUGGGUCACGUGAUCUUAUAAUUAAAGAUGACGCUGAGUCAAGUGUAGUGGCUCCGUCCGUGGUUCAUCAGACGACACGAUGCAGCAGAAUCUCCUCGAACCUUGAACCGGAUCUGUUCAUUCUGUGGGUUUGCAUUGACUUUAGGGUCAGAAUCAGAGGAACGAGUGAACUUUGACGGGUCGUCAGUCAUUUCCAGCUCAUGUCAAGGGGUUCGUGAGGACACGGCGCUCUGAACGUGGGCAGGGCCUAAAUGUAGCAAUUAGAUAAAAGAAGAAGAAUCUCCAGGCUCCGCUCUGAUCGGUACCGACCCACGGCAGCUCCACGGCCGUCACACGGGUCCCUCCUCCCUCUGCGUCCUGUCAGGUCCGGUCACGGGCUCUUAAUGGUCCUGGAGCCGCAGCAGGUGUGAAGGUCGGAGCGAGUCCUAGUUUGAUCAACGACCGAGGAGCUAAAAAUAAAAGUCCCCGGAGGCCGAGGAGGCGUGAGCGCACGUCACGUGCACGCGUGGAGUUGUUGUCGUGCACGAUGUCAGCGGGACAGGAUUCCGCUAACGUUCCCAUCAGCGCUGAGGAAUGUGCCGCACUGCACCUGGUUCCUGAACGGCAGCCAAGACUGCCGGGAGUCACGGAGGAGUCAGAGUCCUUCAAGAGGCAGCGCCGCGAGCGGAGCUGGAACGUCCGCGGCGCGCGUGUGUUUGCGCUCACGCUUAUUUAUUCUGCCACCGCUUAAAUGUUCCGUAGAGACGCUUCACCGCCUUCAGGAAACAAGCAGCUGCUGCUGAUACGCCCAUCAGUCUCCUGUCAAACACGCGUGUGGUUGCUUCGCCUGAAGACUGCAGCCGCUCCGGUUCUGCUGCCGAUCAGAACCCGGCUUCGUCUUUGCUUCAGACCGACGCUGUUCCGUUAGCAGUAAUCAGCUAAUGCCGAGGCCUCAGGAGGCGCUGCGGCUUCAGGGGCGCCUGAUUAGCGUGGACAUUCCCAGAUUAAGGUGAAACUCUCACUGUGGGAGCGAAUGCGACACUCGAUGAAGCUUUUCAAGCACUAAACUUUGAGACCUUAUGAGUGAGUAAGUGUCUUUCAUAAAGGCCAGUAUUCCCGCUUGGUCUGAGUCCAACUGUGACGUCUUCAUCACUUUAUCCACCAGCAUCAGACAAACAGAGUCGUGUUCAACAGCUGGAGGGUCCUAACGUGUGCCCGGCUCCCAGCAGGGGGCCGUGGACGGCGCUGCUCCGCCCCCUGCUGGUGGCGUGCGUCCGUGCAGGUCCGUGCAGGUCCCAGAACCUGCCGCGCUCUGCUCCCACCACCUGCAUCUAAGUACAUAUUUGCUGUUCUGCAGUGUUGAGUUUGAAAAAUGGAUCUCAUUCAUUUGUAUUUGACAGCUGCAGAACCAAAAGACAGAACAAAUGGGCUUGAAGUUAAAAGUCAGCCGCUUCCUGCCAGCUGAGGUCUGAUCUGAACGGUGUGUAGUUUGUUAAGGCGGGUUGGACAGAACCGCCUGUGAUCACUCUGCUGUGGAACGCUGCAGGGACACAGGAGGAGUCCGACCCGCGGGUCUUAAUGUUCGUACCAGAUCAUGUUAGAUGCUGGAAGCCUCACACAUAACCAAGCGGUUCCGCAGCCCGUUCCUCUUCCUCAGGAUCGGGACCAACCGGACUCGGCCCAGUAGUGACAUCCCCUGUUUGUGAUCGCUCUGACACACAUUAUGUGGACUGGACCUGAGACAUUAGAUGGUUCCUACAGCUGUUCCCUGAGGAGGUUCUGUUGGGUUUCUAUAACUCUGUGAAGCCAGUCAAACCACUGGAUUAUGCUGAAGUGGGCCUUAAUCAGAACCACGCAGAGUCUAAGACGCCUCUGGUGUAUUGUUAUCCACAUCCCGGGUCGGUUCUGGUGCCUAUUUGUUCCUCCAAGGAAAACACGGACGAAUGAAUUAAACCUUGAGGCAGAUUUUGUUUAUUCCAGAGUCACAUAAACAAAUGUGUUUGUUUUGUGUUUGUCACGUUGGUUCUCCAUCAUCCUGUGGAGGCGAGCGGGCCCGGCCCGACCCGACCCGCUCUCUGUGGCGUCAGCCUGAAGCAGCUGAUUUAUCACUGUUUGGGCCCAAUUCAAAGUCUUGAACGACCUGACCCACAUUUCCCUGUUCCUGCUGCAGCUCAUAGAUCACUCCUGUUUGCGUCCGCGCUGCACACGCUCGCGUCCUGAAGGGACCGGGCCAGAACGGACCGGGCCAGAACGGACCGGGCCAGGAGCCUGAGCACGAGAGGCUCUGAGACGCUUGCUCGGAGGCUGUGGGUUCUUCCGUCCAGCAGCAGCAGACGUUGACGUGAAGCUCAUGGACUCGGCGCCGCUUGUUUUGGUUCAUUCUCAUUAGAACCGCCGUCCCCUCCAACGCUUCAGGCCUCAGUGAUUUGGUGAAAUCCGCAGCGUGUUUGUGUCUUUGCUGGAAACCAACACAAACAGCCGCGACGCUAAUUGUCUGAGGAGGGCGGCGCCCCCUGCUGCGCCGAACGCUCCACGCUCGUGUGCAGAUGUGGAGCUAAAUCGGAACCAGGCCACAUGUUCGUCCCUGUGAGCGUGCAUUGUUCAGUGUGGUCCAAACAGCAGCCGCUGCUCCUCGUUGUCGUCGCCUCAGUGUUUAAUGUCUGAUCCGAUCCAGCUUUGAUUUGUUGGUGAAUGUGUGCGAUGGUUCUGUUUUCUACCGUGUGUCAGCUGGUACCGGUCCAGGACGGUCCAGUUCCGCCUGGAAGAGCUGCAGCAAACCCACGACCCGGUGAAGGCUGCGGUUCUGAUGAUCCGCCGAGGCCCGUUUGCUGCAGGGCUUGUUUUCCACAGAACUUCAUAUUGACUAGCUGUUAUUUCAAUAAACCGUCCUGUC